ACAACCAAUGCUGGGUCCACAACAGCUGAUAUAAAUUCCACCAAUGUGAAUACUGGUUCACCUUUACCAGCUAGCAGUCAGAGUUCUGAGAAAUCAGAUGGGCCAUCUACUACUGGAGUGGAAAAUAGAGCAACCUCAGCCACAAACUUGGACUCACAAAAAAGUGCAGUUGUAGAAUCGCCUGCCACAAAACCACCUUCCAUAAUUGGUACCCCAAUUUCAACAGAGGAACAGAGAGCUCUAAGCCCAGGAGGUGUUGCUGCCAUUACAAUAAUUGUGAUAGCAAUAGUCUUAGUCAUAUUUGGAGGGGUAGCAUUCUGGAAGAUAAGGAAUUCUUCUUAUGGACGGCUACUAGAGGAUCAAGACUAUGGAUCACUGGGAAAUUACAACAAUCCUCUUUAUGAUGACUCCUGAAAGACGCAGGAAACUGGAUUCCUGAAAUGUCAAUCAACGACUGAUUAAGAACAGAACAAAACUGCUGUUUUUGGCGUUCUGGCUAAAAACAGCUAAUAUGCUUUAACUAUAAACUCUUAGGCCAGCUAAGAUUACCUUUCACGCUUUCUCAUCUGCAAUGCAAAGAACAAACCUAUGAGUGUCAGCUAAAAAUCAAAACAAAACUUGAGUUGUAAUAAUGUGGGUAAUUUGCAAUGUCACAAGUACUGCUUACAGUAAACACUAUCACUUUGAUGUAAUAUGUGCAUCAGAACUCAUGAUAUAACAGCUUUGCACAUCACACUAAGCAUUGCAUUCAGUAAAAAAAAAGUACACUUGGAAAUCAUAAAGAGUUAUUCAAGGACUAUACUGCAUAUAUAUAUAUUACCUAUUAGAAAGAAAUAAUAAUGCCCAAUAUUCUGAGCAAUGUAGGGUGUUUCAUUAAGAACAUAUACACAGCUUCUAUGUCCCUCACCUUUGCUGCUUGUGACAUCCUACCCUAUCUAGCCGGCCAGCAUGCGGGUGACACAAAAGGGCACUGAUGGAACAGCCAAUAGGGGACAUCAAAGUGUCGGGGGUCUGUGAACAUGCAUACACACAUGUAACAAAACAAAAAACUGUCCAUAUUUAUUCAGGUCCAUUUUUAGGGCUAGCAUGAAGCUGCUCUUUUACCUAUCUGCUUAAUUGCCCUAGAAAUAUAAUCUCGAUUGUUUUGAAUGGCCAGUCUCCAACCACAAAAGAAAACUGUAUCCAUAUCAGAAUGAUCCCCUUUUAAUUAGGUUGUUUGGGAUCUUUUAAUGAUAGCGUGUGGUAGAAAUGGGUGAGUUGGUCAGACCAUGUUGAUCUGGAGUUAACUGCAGUAUAAGGAAAAGUGCUUGUGAGUGGUACGGCCCACUGUCAGGUAGCGCAAGCAAGAGCAUUGAUGCCCUAAUAGUGUAAACAACGUUGUUAACAUAGCAUUGAGUUUCUGCGUCAAAAUCAAAAAUUGUGAGAAAGGAAAAACAUAUGUAGUAGUCCAAUGCUUCAGUAUGCUUGCUCAGUGAUAUCUGAGUUAAUUAGAUAUGUUUCAAGUCCUGGCAAUAAAGAAGAAUGUGAAGGACACGCAGAAAGCUUGAUAAAGAUAUCAUCGUUUCUUAUCCUUACAUAUUAUGUCACACAAAAGAUUUGGAAUCCUAUAAAAAUGUGGUUUCCUCACUAACAAACCUUUCACCAUAUCUGUCUGUCUGUUUUCUCACAUUAAAUGCACCUCAGAUAUGCCUAAAAUAUGAUGUAAACACUGGAACUGAUGCUUCUGAGUUACUAUAUUAGUGUGCCUUGUACACUGAACUAUACCUUACAUUAAGGGGGUAGUUUUAUAGCUACUGAGAUUUUUUGCAUUGAAAUAUCCCACUGUAUGUUGUAAAGGGUUUUUAAGAAAGUUUUGAAAUAAGUGUAACCUAGUUUUACAUUUCCCCAAAUCUAGAAUGUAAUCUGUUGGCAUAAUGUUUUAGACCAUAAUAAUGAUUAAUAUCAUAAUAGCAUAAGCACUCCAGUUGGAAAGUAUGUAUUAAAAUGUCACAAUGUGAAGUUAUUGUUAAUAAAAAAAAAUACACUAA